GAAAGACUGUGGUGAGACUCGGGCAAAGCUAGCUCUUCCCUGGCUUCGGACGCCAUGGUGAAGGAUUCAAUUUUAUCCCAUGGCACUGGGGAGCUACGAGAAGGCUCUGAACAGCACGUGUGCUUGAAUGCGUAGAAGUUCAAUGUGCCUUCGAUGGUGACGAUGAGAGCACAGGAUGUCCUUGGUGUGGUUUCUCUCCCUCCUCUCACCGCUUCUCCCGGGCAGGACCCCACAAUAAAAGAACUUCCAACACUUAUCCAGGGCUCACUGUGCCCCGGAAACCACA